rnacentral:pre_miRNA from 1 species
GAGGUACUCCCUCCGUCCGGAAAUACUUGUCAUCAAAAUGAAUAAAAGGGGAUGUAUCUAGAUGUAUUUUAGUUCUAGAUACAUCCCUUUUUGUCCAUUUUGAUGACAAGUAUUUUCGGACGGAGGAAGUAUAAA